CGACAUAAUUUUUAUUUCCAAAUAAUAAUUCUAGCAUGCUUUCCUUUAACGAUUUAAAACUCAUACUUGAGAAUAUAUCGACCAUGUAAUCCAAAUUUUUAUAAUGUAAUCCAGUUCCAGAAUAUGUACAUCCUCAAAUCUUAUUAAAGGAAAGAACUAUAGAACUACCGAAAGGCUGUUUGGCCACAUACAAAAAAGCGAUUGGAGCUCACUACAAAAGAUUGGUACAUUGUGAAGGCCAUCAUCCAAUAACAAUAUUUUAAGAUCCCAAAACUAACCCCGGGCAGAAUUAUACAGAGAUUGAAAAAGAGAAGACUAAGGGAGCACCAAAAUAAAUUGAACACAUCAACACAGCAUCAUAAAUUUCCUCAUUCGAUGCUGCCUGUCCUCAACAAAAA